UCGCAUAUGUUCCAUUCUAGUCCUACCAUACUGCGGCAAUGCAGUGAAAAAUGGUUAGGGGGUGCUUUUUCAAAGGAGCUUUCUGCCUAGAGGAAAAUCAAUCAACUAAAAAAAUAUGUCAACAUAAAAGGAUUCCCAUUCCACCUCGGAAGCCCCAUUGAAUAAGAUAGAUAACAGCAGGCUGGAGGAAUUAAUAAUUUAAGGUAGAAAAUCACAGAAUUAGUAUUCAAUUGGAAGAUGUCUCCAAAAAUUUUCUUAAGCCGUGUACAAGGGUAAACUCCAGUCGAAGAUCCUAUGUGCCAGCUCAGACGAGUGAAAAGAAUGACAAACACACCCACAACAACAGUACAGUUUCUCGUGUUCAAAAUAACGUUGGUUUUGAAACCUGUCAAUGAUUGUAAAGAGUAAACGCUUCAUAAAAAGGGGUUGCCCCGUUUUCUGUAGCAAAUUUAAUAGGAAAUGCUGAUUCUUUCAUUAUCCCAAGAAAUCCAGGAUGGACUGCGGACCGAUCUGAAUUGCAAAUUUUCUCUUCGUUAUUCAGUAUUCAUGAGUUUCUCUCACCUACACGUGCUACUAAGAUGUUAAUCGGGUGUGGAAGGUUCUGUGGCCGUUUAGGUCUCCUAACUUGAUUUACAAGCUUCGAAAUGGAUGAAAACUUUGAAAACGUUGCUGAAGACACGAAGGUUUCCACAAUGGCUAUGCGAGAGGAUACCAAAGGUGGCUUCGGCGAAAGGUCUCAUAUACUACAGCGACAUUGUAACACGAUGCAGCACAAGAUGGAAACCAAAAUGGCGGACUCGGGAUUCUUUGCUUUUUAAGUGUAAACGAGGAAAGGAAACACGGAAUAUGGAAAUCAAAGAGAGCUUCUGAAAAUGGAUUCUGUGCAUAGAUCGAUCGAUUAUCACAUUCAAUCACAUCUGACAAAUGGACAUAGGACUGGACUGAAAGCAAAGCAGGUCAAGGGAAAAAUGAAUAAGUGGACUGAAAUC